rnacentral:rRNA from 1 species
GGCGGGGUAACGGCCCACCAAGGCGACGAUGUCUAGGGGUUCUGAGAGGAAGGUCCCCCACACUGGUACUGAGACACGGACCAGACUCCUACGGGAGGCAGCAGUGAGGAAUAUUGGUCAAUGGACGCAAGUCUGAACCAGCCAUGUCGCGUGCAGGAUGACUGCCCUAUGGGUUGUAAACUGCUUUUGUAUGGGAAGAAAGUUAGCUACGCGUAGCUAUUUGCCGGUACCAUACGAAUAAGCAUCGGCUAACUCCGUGCCAGCAGCCGCGGUAAUACGGAGGAUGCGAGCGUUAUCCGGAUUUAUUGGGUUUAAAGGGUGCGCAGGCGGAAUGGUAAGUCAGCGGUGAAAGUCUGCAGCUCAACUGUAGUUGUGCCGUUGAUACUGUCAUUCUUGAGUAUAGAUGAGGUAGGCGGAAUGAGUAGUGUAGCGGUGAAAUGCAUAGAUAUUACUCAGAACACCGAUUGCGAAGGCAGCUUACUAAACUAUAACUGACGCUGAGGCACGAAAGCGUGGGUAUCAAACAGGAUUAGAUACCCUGGUAGUCCACGCCGUAAACGAUGAUUACUGGUUGUUUGCAAUAGACCGCAAGCGACUGAGCGAAAGCAUUAAGUAAUCCACCUGGGGAGUACGUUGGCAACAAUGAAACUCAAAGGAAUUGACGGGGGCCCGCACAAGCGGUGGAACAUGUGGUUUAAUUCGAUGAUACGCGAGGAACCUUACCUGGGCUUAAAUGGAGAAUGACAGGGGUGGAAACACCCUUUUCUUCGGACAUUUUUCAAGGUGCUGCAUGGUUGUCGUCAGCUCGUGCCGUGAGGUGUCGGGUUAAGUCCCAUAACGAGCGCAACCCCUGUUGUCAGUUACCAGCACGUAAAGGUGGGGACUCUGGCAAGACUGCCGGUGUACACCGCGAGGAAGGUGGGGAUGACGUCAAAUCAGCACGGCCCUUACGUCCAGGGCUACACACGUGUUACAAUGGCAGGUACAAAGGGCAGCUACACAGCAAUGUGAUGCUAAUCUCGAAAGCCUGUCCCAGUUCGGAUUGGAGUCUGCAACCCGACUUCAUGAAGCUGGAAUCGCUAGUAAUCGCGCAUCA